AGCAGCAGCCGCGGUAAUACGUAGGUGGCAAGCGUUGUCCGGAAUUAUUGGGCGUAAAGGGCUCGCAGGCGGUUUCUUAAGACUGAUGUGAAAGCCCCCGGCUCAACCGGGGAGGGUCAUUGGAAACUGGGAAACUUGAGUGCAGAAGAGGAGAGUGGAAUUCCACGUGUAGCGGUGAAAUGCGUAGAGAUGUGGAGGAACACCAGUGGCGAGGGCGACUCUCUGGUCUGUAACUGACGCUGAGGAGCGAAAGCGUGGGGAGCGAACAGGAUUAGAUACCCCGGUAGUCCCUGUCUCUUAUAC
rnacentral:rRNA from 1 species